rnacentral:rRNA from 1 species
CUUGGUCAUUUAGAGGAAGUAAAAGUCGUAACAAGGUCUCCGUUGGUGAACCAGCGGAGGGAUCAUUAAAAAGAGUUGCAAAACUCCUUAAACCCAAUGUGAAUAUACCUGUAUCUGUUGCUUCGGCAGGCGGUCCCAGGGCGGGACCAAGGCCUUUUAGCUAAGGCGCCUGCCGAAGGUUAUACCAAAACUCUUGUUAUCUUUAGUGGACAUCUGAGUAUUAAAUCAAAUGAGUCAAAACUUUCAGCAACGGAUCUCUUGGUUCUGGCAUCGAUGAAGAACGCAGCGAAAUGCGAUAAGUAAUGUGAAUUGCAGAAUUCAGUGAAUCAUCGAAUCUUUGAACGCACAUUGCGCCCGCCAGCAUUCUGGCGGGCAUGCCUGUCCGAGCGUCGUUUCGACCCUCAAGCACUAGCUGCUUGGUGUUGGGGCCUUCUGCGGGUGCACCCCGUAGGCCCUUAAUUUCAGUGGCGGGCUCGCCGUGACCCCGAGCGCAGUAGUUCUCCUCUCGCUUAGGGCGUUUCGGCGGGUUUCUAGCCGUUAAACCCCCCAUAUUUAUACAAGGUCGACCUCGGAUCAGGUAGGAAUACCCGCUGAACUUAAGCAUAUCAAUAAGCGGAGGA